rnacentral:rRNA from 1 species
UACGGAGGGUGCGAGCGUUGUCCGGAAUCACUGGGCGUAAAGGGCGCGUAGGCGGCGCGGGUAGUCAUCGGUGAAAGUUCAGGGCUCAACUCUGAAUCGGCCGGUGAUACUCCCGUGCUCGAGCACUGUAGAGGCAGGUGGAAUUCCGGGUGUAGCGGUGGAAUGCGUAGAGAUCCGGAAGAACACCGGUGGCGAAGGCGGCCUGCUGGGCAGUAGCUGACACUGAGAGACGAAAGCUAGGGGAGCAAAUGGG